UUGAGCCCCAUUCUUCAAUUAGCCCCUGGCCAGAUGUCCACUGGGAACUUCUGUGCUGUCACUGCAGCCUCCAAGGCUAACACAGUACACGAUAACUGUGGAAGUGUGAGGAGGCCCUCCACCGUGGCCGGCAUCCCUGUUCGCUCUUCUUGGAGGAGGGUCGGGGUACGAUGGCAUCCAAGUCAUCAAUCUCUGUAAUAGAAAAAGUAAGAAUUAGAAAGGGAGCGAUGUUUCUAGUGAAGAGCUCACAGAAGUGAGAAGCUCUCCGCAGAAGCCGCCUUCACACCCAAGGGCAGCAGUGGCUGUGAGUGCUCCUGUGCACAGGGUUCUCUCCCAGGUUGGCUGCAGACUACCACUGCCUCCCAUAGGUGCUUCACAGGGAAUCUGCAGCGCCCCUUUGGCUCUGGCAUUAAUCUUACCAGACACAGGCUUAGGAACACAUCCAGGUGGCAGUGUUUAUGAUACCUUUGUCCCUCUCUAAAUCUCUGUACAGCUACAUGGGCAAGCCAACAUGGGUCCCAACAUGGGUCCCAUUAUGCAGUGAAGACAUGCAUCUCUUUUCUGGGUCUCCACAGUUAGUGCUUCUUGAUUCUUUUAGUCUCACAGUGGAGUGUUCUCAGCCUUCUCUGGGGAGAUUUGUCCAGUAAGAGGUGUGUGACAACUUAGAACAAGCCUCGGGGACACAGCCUAUCCUGGUAUGGACUUCUGGACAAAGCAGUUCAGGUUCUUCAGCAGGUUCUGAAAUUGAUUUUUCUUCCAAGGUAUCAGAUUUCAGUGACCCUAAGCCAGAAUUCACUUUCUGACUCUCUUGUUCUCAGGGGAAGCGAGUACGUUCCCUUAGCCAGAGACCAUCCCUACUGGAAGGCUCCAAGCAGCGGGCACUGCAUUUUUCUAGCUUAUUUUGCUUGGUCAUGUUUUAAUAAACAAUGACAGAACCCAG
rnacentral:lncRNA from 1 species